UACGAAGGGGGCUAGCGUUGCUCGGAAUCACUGGGCGUAAAGGGUGCGUAGGCGGGUCUUUUAAGUCAGGGGUGAAAUCCUGGAGCUCAACUCCAGAACUGCCUUUGAUACUGGUGAGCUUGAGUCCGGAAGAGGUGAGUGGAACUGCGAGUGUAGAGGUGAAAUUCGUAGAUAUUCGCAAGAACACCAGUGGCGAAGGCGGCUCACUGGUCCGGUACUGGACGCUGGGGAGCGAAAGCGUGGGGAGCGAUCCGG
rnacentral:rRNA from 1 species